rnacentral:rRNA from 1 species
AACUAACGCUGGCGGCGUGCCUAACACAUGCAAGUCGAGCGGGGUUGAGGCGAGGAGGUAACUCGAGCUUCUACCUAGCGGCGGACGGGUGAGUAACGCGUGGGCAACCUGCCUCAAGGUUUGGGAUAACAGCCCGAAAGGGCUGCUAAUACCGGAUAUGCCUAUGGCCUCGCAUGGGGCUAUGAGCAAAGGGGAAACCCGCCUUGAGAUGGGCCCGCGUCCCAUCAGCUAGUUGGUGAGGUAACAGCUCACCAAGGCGACGACGGGUAGCCGGCCUGAGAGGGUGACCGGCCACACUGGGACUGAGACACGGCCCAGACUCCUACGGGGGGGCAGCAGUGGGGGAUCUUGCACAAUGGGCGAAAGCCUGAUGCAGCGACGCCGCGUGAGCGAAGAAGGCCUUGGGUUGUAAGCUCUGUCCUCAAGGAAGAUAAUGACGGUACUUGAGGAGGAAGCCCGGCUAACUACGUGCCAGCAGCCGCGGUAAU